GCCUCUGUAGCUCAGUUGGUUAGAGCGCUGCACCGGAAUCGCAGGGCCGUAGGUUCAAGUCCUACCAGAGGAC
rnacentral:tRNA from 1 species